rnacentral:misc_RNA from 1 species
AAGAUUGCAAACGGUACAGACAAGGCAAUGCCAGCAACAAUAACAGUAUCAGUAGUGAUGUGCAAUUGACAGAGGUAGCAAUUCUGGUUGUUGAGAUAAAUCACAUAAUGUUAUACACAGCUAUUGAAGGUGUCAUAAUACCAAUAAUUGAGGUAGAAGCAACGUUGACAAUAGUAUCACCACAAUUCUGUUUGUUAAAAUAAUGAAA